GAGUUUGAUUCUGGCUCAGAUUGAACGCUGGCGGCAUGCUUUACACAUGCAAGUCGAACGGCAGCACGAGUGCUUGCACUUGGUGGCGAGUGGCGAACGGGUGAGUAAUGCAUUGGAACGUGCCUUGUAUUGGGGGAUAACUGAGCGAAAGCUUAGCUAAUACCGCAUACGCCCUGAUGGGGAAAGCUGGGGAUCGUUUGACCUGGCGAUAUAAGAGCGGCCAAUGUCUGAUUAGCUAGUUGGUGAGGUAAAGGCUUACCAAGGCGACGAUCAGUAGCGGGUCUGAGAGGAUGAUCCGCCACACUGGGACUGAGAGACGGCCCAGACUCCUACGGGAGGCAGCAGUGGGGAAUUUUGGACAAUGGGGGGAACCCUGAUCCAGCCAUGCCGCGUGUCUGAAGAAGGCCUUCGGGUUGUAAAGGACUUUUGUUGGGGAGCAAAGGUAUCUGGUUAAGAGCUGGAGAUUA
rnacentral:rRNA from 1 species